rnacentral:lncRNA from 1 species
AUGGUGUGUGUGUGUGUGUGUGUGUGUGUGUGUGUGUGUGUGUGUGUGUGUGUGUGUGUGUGUGUGUGUGUGUGUGUGUGUGUGUGUGUGUGUGUGUGUGUGUGUGUGUGUGUGUGUGUGUGUGUGUGUGUGUGGUUCCUGCAGGUGGUGGAGGACAAUUUCCCAGAUGAUGAAUUGAAGGCUUUUAUAGUGUCCAGUAUUUCCAGUCAGGAUUACUCGUGCACGACCCUCUCCUUCUAUGCCCUGCACUCUGGAUGCUACAAGGGGCUUGCUAACGGGAACAUCAUGAUUCAGGGCAGACGACUCCUCAUACCGUUAAAAGACUCCAGUAGCAAGCUGCCGGUGCUAUUUGCGGUGGAGUUUAAGGAGCUGCGGAGCUACAGCUUGUGGGAGCAGAGCGAGUUGCAGGCCCGCGGGCUGCGGUACCAGAGCGAGCACCUCGAGCCCCCCAUGUUCCUCCUGCUCCUGGUCUCCUACCCCCAGGCCGUCGCCACACAGACGCUUCUCCUCAAGAUGUCAGGCCAACAGCGCACGGACAGCCUGGGUCAGGUGAGCCCCUUCCUGCUGCUGAGCCUGCGGACCAGGAUGGAAGGCGUGGAGUCGGCCGUGCUGCGCUCGGCCCUGGAUCUGGCCUCCCUGAGCAACCUGUCCGAGCUGCACACCGACCGGCCCGUGGACAUCCUGAGCGAGCUGGACGACUUCCAGUCGCCGGAGAUGUCUCUGGACGACUCUCUGGAGUUCAUCAGGAGGAUCGGGCUGGACCCCCAGCUGCUGAGCUUGCUGGGGGCCAAGGACAGUCCGGAGCUCGCGCCGGAUCCCCCCGCGUCGCCCCCGGAGCCGGCGGGACUGUUUGACCUGCACAUCCAGGUGUGCGACCCCGACACCGGCCUACCGUCGGAGCCCAGCACCGUGAUAGACGACGAGGCGACCCCGGCGCUAGAGAGCUCCGCGCCGAGCGACGAGAAGGCGUGCCCCGCCGAGGUGAGUAGUGCUUCUCCUUCCUUUUUCUUCUGCGUCUUUCUCUCUCUCCACACCGAAGGCAUCGCGUGUGCGUGUUUUUGUGGACACCCUCCCUGA